UACGGAGGGGGCGAGCGUUAUUCGGAAUUAUUGGGCGUAAAGCGCGCGUAGGCGGGUCGGAAAGUCGGCUGUGAAAGCCUGGGGCUCAACCUCAGAGGGUCGGCCGAUACUUUCGGUCUUGAGGGCGGUAGGGAGAAGUGGAAUGGCUGGUGUAGCGGUGAAAUGCGUAGAUAUCAGUCGGAACACCGGUGGCGAAGGCGGCUUCUUGGGCCGUUCCUGACGCUGAUGCGCGAAAGCUGGGGGAGCGAAC
rnacentral:rRNA from 1 species